GCAUUGCCCUACCUUUUGAAAUACCCUUUCUGGAUCAGUAUGAAGAAUCCAUCCCACCCCUACACCAUGAGACAGACAGACAGGUCCUGAAGCCAUCUCAGGAGCUAAACAGCUCCAGGAAACAAGAACACAGAUCAUGGGAUAGACAAUCAGUGACUCUCAGGACACUUUAGUCUGCCCACCUGUGGGGCUCCUCCAAGGACAGCUUUGAGCCUGGAGUUCCAUGCUGCAGCAUGACCUUUGCCCCCAGCUUCCUGGGCUCCAGCUUGGGGCUCACCGGGCAUGGAGGCACCUGGCACAUGGCUUUCCACAGGAGCGGCAACAGUGGUGCCAGAGGCUGCAGAUGGUGGCAGCACAAUAGCUCCUCAGGUCGGAGGGAGCAGAAGGUGGUGAGGAAGCUUGGGGUCUCUGGCAGGAAGUGGGGGGAGUCACAUGAUCACCGGCAGCUGCAGCAGCCAGGGGGCUGUUCAGUGGGCUGUUUGUGCCCUGAACACCCAUACCCAAGGCAUUGGCCAUCCAAUCCCUCUUCGUGUGCUGCUCUGCCAGACAUGCUUGGUUCAUCAUGGCUCCAAAAUCCCAGCAAGAAGAGCGAGGUAUCUGCUGCCCUGGUGUGUGGAGA
ensembl:lncRNA